rnacentral:rRNA from 1 species
GACGAACCGUACAAACGUUAUUCGGAAUCACUGGGCUUAAAGGGUGCGUAGGCGGCUCGGAAAGUAGGGUGUGAAAUCCCUCGGCUCAACCGAGGAAUUGCGCCCUAAACUACCGUGCUCGAGGGAGAUAGAGGUGAGCGGAACUUAGGGUGGAGCGGUGAAAUGCGUUGAUAUCCUAAGGAACACCGGUGGCGAAAGUGGCUCACUGGAUCUCUUCUGACGCUGAGGCACGAAAGCUAGGGUAGCGAACGGG